CCCUUAGAUGUUCUGGGCCGCACACGCGCUACACUGAAGGAGGCAGCGUGUACUCCUGGAUCGAAAGAUUUGGGUAACCCGCGAAUCUCCUUCGUGCUAGGGAUUGAGGUUUGCAAUUAUCCUUCAUGAACGAGGAAUUCCCAGUAAGUGCAAGUCAUAAGCUUGCGCUGACUACGUCCCUGCCCUUUGUACACACCACCCGUCGCUACUACCGAUUGAAUGAUUUAGUGAGGACUUCGGACUGGGACCGAUGCGGCUUUCGGGCUGCGUCGGUAUUCUGGAAAGAUGUCCAAACUGUNUNAUUUAUNGGAAGUAAAANUCGUANCA
rnacentral:rRNA from 1 species